rnacentral:lncRNA from 1 species
AUCAGAAUGUUCAUUUGCUGAAUGGGUUCCUAUACCUUCAGCACAUCUGCAUCAAACAUCUUUUCUCUUUAUCUCGAAACUCAGCUCAACUGGGUCUCUGGAAUCCCAAUGGGAAAAUGCUUGAAAGGAGGUUGUAGUGACAUGGAGGUCAGCCUCUUCUCCCAGGUAACAAUAGGAUGAGGGGGAAUGGCCUCAAGUUGCUCCAGGGGAGGUUCAGUUUGGAUAUUAGGAAGCAUUUCUUCUCCAAAAGAGUAGUGCUGCACUGGCACAGGCUGCCCAGGGAGGUGGUGCAGUCCCCGUCCCUGGAGGUGUUCCAGAACCGUGUGGAUGUGGCACUGAGGGACAUGGUCAGUGGGCAUGGUGGGGGUGGGCUGGUGGUUGGACUAGGUGAUCUUAGAGGUUUUUCCUAUCUUAAUGGUUUUAUGAUUCUACAAGGCAGUGAGUAUUCACUGAUCAGAAGGCAGGAGCUCUCCAGUCCUGGCAGCUUCAGAAAGACAGGAGUGAGCAGAGAAACAGCUCUUGGUAACUUGCCAUUGCAAAGUGACGUCAUCCCUCCUUCCACUCCCCCUCCCCCCCCUCCAGGAAGGGGAAAAAAGCCAUAUUCAGCCUCAGGAAUACUCUCCCACCCAUCUGCUGUUUCAACAUAUAUGAGCAGAAAAAAGAAGGACAGGACAGAAUGCAAGAGCUUCAGAGAGGUUUUACCAAGACACACAGGAAAUUCUGUACUGGAUGAGUCUGCAGUCUUUCAAGAUAACUGGUUGUACAAGUCUGAAUGGGAAUAUUAUAAGUAA